AUGAUUUACUUAUUUUAGAAUUCAAUAUACAAUUUAUUAAUAAAAAAAAAAAUAUUCUAGUACGUCUCCUAAUUUAAUCUAGCUACAAAUAAUCUGUGGCAAAGGUCAGGCUAUGAGUCAUUGUACUUGGUACGACAGACAUGUUGCGUCCAAUCCUAGAGCUUCCCGCCUAGAGCCGCCACGGCGCAACCUAGCUGCGCAGCGCAUGCGCCCGCCCGCCCCGACUGCCGCACUACGUUGCGUACGUACGGCAGUGUCCCAGCGUGCUGGCGGCAGUCGGCGGGGACGCACGUCUUUCAUGAAACAAAUUUUGCACUCUUUUUAAACAAACUUUACUUAAAUUCAAUUCAUAAAUUUUAGUUAGUUUUUGUUUCAUAACUUGUAAAAUUCAUGCUAUCGAAGUUGCAUUUUACCCCGCGCGGGGGGGUGGUGGGGGGGCGCCACCCUAUGCUGUAUCGGACGCCGCCGAGUUUACCUCCAUUUCCUAGAAUUUGGACUCGGCGCGAGGCGGUACGGGCGCUGCAAUAGUAUUACAGGAGAGCUGUUUCGACGCUCGAGGGGAGUGGACGUAUUGCGUCGACAGCUGUCGGUCGCUAGUGGGAGCACACGGGCGGCGCGCGCCGGCGCGUGCUGCCGUGCGACCGGUCUGCUCUUGACCGUCUUAAGAAUUCUUCCCUAGUAUUUCUCAGUCCCAAAAUUUGGUGUGAAGACAUGUUAGAGGGGUAGGGGGGGAUAACGUUUGGUAUUCCACCGCGCAAGGGCGUCGCCCACAUCGAUCGUUGGCGACAAGCCUGCGCACAAGUACCCCACCCCAUGU